AAACUAACAAGGAUUCCCCUAGUAACUGCGAGUGAAGCGGGAAAAGCUCAAAUUUAAAAUCUGGUGGUCUUUGGCCAUCCGAGUUGUAAUCUAGAGAAGUGUUACCCGCGUCGGACCGUGUACAAGUCUCCUGGAAUGGAGCGUCAUAGAGGGUGAGAAUCCCGUCUUUGACACGGACUACCGAGGCUUUGUGGUGCGCUCUCAAAGAGUCGAGUUGUUUGGGAAUGCAGCUCAAAAUGGGUGGUAAAUUCCAUCUAAAGCUAAAUAUUGGCGAGAGACCGAUAGCGAACAAGUACCGUGAGGGAAAGAUGAAAAGAACUUUGGAAAGAGAGUUAAACAGUACGUGAAAUUGCUGAAAGGGAAACGCUUGAAGUCAGUCGCGUUGGCCGGAAAUCAGCCUUGCUUUUGCUGGGUGUACUUUCUGGUUGACGGGCCAGCAUCAGUUUUGACCGGUGGAAAAAGUCUAGAGGAAUGUGGCAUCUUCGGAUGUGUUAUAGCCUUUGGUCGUAUACAUCGGUUGGGAUUGAGGAACUCAGCACGCCGAAAGGCCGGGUCUUUGACCACGUUCGUGCUUAGGAUGCUGGCAUAAUGGCUUUAAUCGACCCGUCUUGAAACACGGACCAAGGAGUCUAACAUGCCUGCGAGUGUUUGGGUGGAAAACCCGGACGCGCAAUGAAAGUGAAAGUUGAGAUCCUUGUCAUGGGGAGCAUCGACGCCCGGACCAGACGUUUUCUGACGGCCCUGCGGUAGAGCAUGUAUGUUGGGACCCGAAAGAUGGUGAACUAUGCCUGAAUAGGGUGAAGCCAGAGGAAACUCUGGUGGAGGCUCGUAGCGAUUCUGACGUGCAAAUCGAUCGUCAAAUUUGGGUAUAGGGGCGAAAGACUAAUCGAACCAUCUA
rnacentral:rRNA from 1 species